CCCGGUGAUAUUUGAUGGGGGGGAAAAUUUAUCGGCAAAGGAUCGCCCCGCGUUGGAUUAGGUAGUUGGUGGGGUAAUGGCCUACCCAAGCAGACGAUCCAUAGCUGGUUUGAGAGGAUGAUCAGCCACACUGGGACUGAGACACGGCCCAGACUCCUACGGGAGGCAGCAGUGGGGAAUUUUGGACAAUGGGCGCAAGCCUGAUCCAGCAAUGCCGCGUGCAGGAUGAAGGCCUUUCGGGUUGUAAACUGCUCUUGUACGGAGCGAAAAGGCUUCCACUAAUACUGGGGGCUCAUGACGGUACCGUAAGAAUAAGCACCGGCUAAUUACGUGCCAGCAGCCGCGGUAAUACCUAGGGUGCAAGCGUUAAUCGGAAUUACUGGGCGUAAAGCGUGCGCAGGCGGUUAUGUAAGACAGAUGUGAAAUCCCCGGGCUUAACCUGGGAACUGCAUUUGUGACUGCAUAGCUAGAGUACGGUAGAGGGGGAUGGAAUUCCGCGUGUAGCAGUGAAAUGCGUAGAUAUGCGGAGGAACACCGAUGGCGAAGGCAAUCCCCUGGACCUGUACUGACGCUCAUGCACGAAAGCGUGGGGAUCGAACAGGAUUAGAUACCCUGGUAGUCCACGCCCUAAACGAUGCUAACUCGAUGUUUGGUCUAUAAGAUUGAGCAUCCAAGCGAAAGCGUUAAGUUAGCCACCUGGGGAGUACGACCGCAAGGUUGAAACUCAAACGAAUUGACGG
rnacentral:rRNA from 1 species